CACAGAAAGCCCCGAUUGAAUAUAUGCCAUCAUCCGCGGCAGUACAGACGGGGCUUGUGUCAUUUGGAGUGAUUGGGCGUCAUGGGAUGGGGG
rnacentral:rRNA from 18 species